GUAACGGCGAGUGAAGCGGCAACAGCUCAAAUUUGAAAUCUGGCCCCCCGCGGGCCCGAGUUGUACUUUGGAGAGGACGCUUCUGGCGCGGCGCCGUCCGAGUUCCCUGGAACGGGACGCCGGAGAGGGUGAGAGCCCCGUACGGGCGGCCGCCUAGCCUCUGCGAAGCUCCUUUCGACGAGUCGAGUAGUUUGGGAAUGCUGCUCAAAAUGGGAGGUAAAUUUCUUCUAAAGCUAAAUACCGGCCAGAGACCGAUAGCGCACAAGUAGAGUGAUCGAAAGAUGAAAAGCACUUUGAAAAGAGGGUCAAACAGUACGUGAAAUUGUUGAAAGGGAAGCGCCUGUGGCCAGACUUGCGCCCCGCGGACCACCCGGCGCCUCGCGCGCCGGGGCACGCCAGCGGGGCGCAGGCCAGCAUCGGCUCUCUCGGGGGGACAAAGGCCGCGGGAACGUAGCGCCCUCGCGGCGUAUUAUAGCCCGCGGCGCCAUGCCCCCGGGGGGGCCGAGGACCGCGCUCCGGCAAGGAUGCUGGCGUAAUGGCCACCGGCGACCCGUCUUGAAACACGGACCAAGGAGUCAAGCAUUGGGGCGAGUGUCUGGGUGGCAAGCCCGCACGCGGAAUGAAAGUGAACGCAGGUGGGAGCUUCGGCGCACCACCGACCGAUCCUGAUGUCCUCGGAUGGAUUUGAGUAGGAGCCCCGCCGCUUGGACCCGAAAGAUGGUGAACUAUGCCUGUAUAGGGUGAAGCCAGAGGAAACUCUGGUGGAGGCCCGCAGCGGUUCUGACGUGCAAAUCGAUCGUCAAAUAUGGGCAUGGGGGCGAAAGACUAAUC
rnacentral:rRNA from 1 species